GAUCUUAUCUAUACCUAAUACAUAUUUAAUUGGAAUAUCUUAGCAUAUUGAAUACCUUUUUAAAAUUCUUCUGCUUCUUUAGUUGCAUUGAUCUUACUGAAUGAAUUAAAACGAGUUAGAAAAUACUGGCAACAUGUGGUUUGGAUUAUAUCUAUUACUUCAGAGCGGUUUAACACGUGGAAAUUGGAAUUCGUAAUGGGAAAUUCGGUGUCGGAGCUGUAAUUGGAAUAUACAAUAUGGACAUGCAUUUAUGUAUAUGUUUCAAGACUGGUUUUAAAUUCUACGAAUUCAGUACAAACCGAAGAAAAAGAAACUGUAAAUUUACGCGUAGUCGGCGAAUUUCGAGUUGGAUAAAAAUGUGAGCUCGAGGUAAACAAAUUGUCAUGGAGUUUUUUGGAAAGCGAAGCUGAGUGAAACACGAAACUGUGAAAUAUUAAGAAGAGAAAAACAAUCAAGUCAGCGAAAAUCGGCAUAUAAAUGGCAUACGUGACAAUAGAGCAAGUGUUCAUGGCGGUCUCUCUCUCCCUCAAUCCCUCAAGCAUUGCCGGUUUUGCUUUGCACACUGCACAGAAAGAGAGAAAAGGCCGAUUGGGGUGAAAGUGCGCGUAAAUGUUAAUUGUUGAUUGGAAAAACUAACCAGACACAUAUUGAAUGGCAGAGAGCCAAUAACAGAUUUCUGUUCUAUGUUAUGAAAUUCAUAAAGUGUGCUGCGGUAUUGGAAUUGAUAAACACCAUUCGCAUUGAUAACAGAAAUGCGAAACAAGCGCAAAAUGAACAUAAUCAAAUGAAAUGAAAUGGAAUAAUCAGCUGAUAGACGACGCUCACGUAAACACGACACGUUGAAACGCACGACAUGGCCAAAAA